rnacentral:hammerhead_ribozyme from 1 species
GUACUGCUGGAGAGUCCCGAACAUAGGACGAAACAGCUGUCCAGUAC